rnacentral:misc_RNA from 1 species
GAAAUUUUCUCUCCGUUGUAAAAGAGAGCGACUCGCAAAAAGACCUUACACAGCAACAGCAACAGCAAAAUCCCAUCCAAUAAUGGCGUCGAUUGCAGCAGCUUCUACUUCCAUGGCUUCUACUGCCGUUUUUACUACUCAUUUAUCACUUUGCUCCACCGCUAAAGCCGCCUCAUUUUGCUGCUCUGCCCUACCUUAUCUUCCACCCCGUGUUUCUGCUUCAGCCAUUUCUACUUCCUUCAAAUUCUCAGAAUCCAAAAGGUCUUCGCUCCACCAGGUUAAAGCCUCUUCAUCUGAAGAAACUUCUGUUGAUACUAGUGAAUUCAUAACAGAGCUAAAAGAAAAGUGGGAUGCUGUUGAAGACAAGACGACAGUGCUACUUUACGGUGGUGGGGCAAUUGUUGCAGUUUGGAUAUCUUCAAUUCUU